AUUGAACGCUGGCGGCAUGCUUUACACAUGCAAGUCGAACGGUAACAGGCCACAAGGUGCUGACGAGUGGCGAACGGGUGAGUAAUGCAUCGGAGCGUGCCCAGUCGUGGGGGAUAACGCAGCGAAAGCUGCGCUAAUACCGCAUACGAUCUAUGGAUGAAAGCGGGGGACCGUAAGGCCUCGCGCGAUUGGAGCGGCCGAUGUCAGAUUAGGUAGUUGGUGGGGGAAAGGCUCACCAAGCCAACGAUCUGUAGCUGGUCUGAGAGGACGACCAGCCACACUGGGACGGAGACACGGCCCAGAGUCCUACGGGAGGCAGCAGUGGGGAAUUUUGGACAAUGGGCGCAAGCCUGAUCCAGCAAUGCCGCGUGCAGGAAGAAGGCCUGCGGGUUGUAAACUGCUUUUGUACGGAACGAAACGGCUCUGGUUAAUACCUGGGGCUAAUGACGGUACCGUAAGAAUAAGCACCGGCUAACUACGUGCCAGCCGCCGCCGUAAGAC
rnacentral:rRNA from 1 species